rfam:Danio rerio chromosome 7, GRCz11 reference primary assembly.
UAAACGGCUCUUUUAAGAGCCACUCACAUAACAGUGAAGAGCAUU